rnacentral:rRNA from 1 species
AAGNUGUAAGGCAACAAAGUGAAACCNCGAAAGGCUCAUUAAAUCAGUUAUGGUUCACUAGAUGGCACAAUAGACUCACGUGCGGGCAACCGCAUUCGAGCUGACUUGGAUAACUGUGGCAAUUCUAGAGCUAAUACAUGCAAAUCGAGUCCCGACCUCGACAAGCCCUCGUGGUGUAAGAUGGAAGGGAUGCUUUUAUUAGAUCAAAAACCAACGGGUCCGGGGNUUCGGCUUCGGUUCUCCAAAAGGUUCUUGGUGACUCUGGAUAAAUGUCUGCAGACCAGGCUCAGCUGAUCGCUAAGGCCUUCGUGCCGGCGACGCGUCUUUCAAAUGUCUGACUUAUCAAACUGUCGACGGCCGGCCUUUGGGCCAGCCGUGGUGAUAACGGGUAACGGGGAAUCAGGGUUCGAUUCCGGAGAGGGAGCCUGAGAAAUAGCUACCACAUCCAAGGAAGGCAGCAGGCGCGCAAAUUACCCACUCCCUGAACGGGGAGGUAGUGACGAUAAAUAACGAUGCAGAACUCUUUCCGAGGCUCUGCAAUCGGAAUGGGUAUACUCUAAACACCUUGUACGAGUAUCCACUGGAGGGCAAGUCUGG